rnacentral:pre_miRNA from 1 species
CUACUUUAGUGCCCACAGGGAACAUUCAACGCUGUCGGUGAGUUUGUGCUCUAAGGAAAACCAUCGACCGUUGACUGUACCUUGAGGGACACCUCAGCAC